CCUACGGGAGGCUGCAGUGGGGGAUAUUGCACAAUGGGGGGAACCCUGAUGCAGCGACGCCGCGUGGGUGAAGAAGCGCCUCGGCGCGUAAAGCCCUGUCAGCAGGGAAGAAAAUGACGGUAACUGAAGAAGAAGCCCCGGCUAACUACGUGCCAGCAGCCGCGGUAAUACGUAGGGGGCAAGCGUUAUCCGGAUUUACUGGGUGGAAAGGGGGCGCAGACGGCGAUGCAAGCCAGGAGUGAAAGCCCGGGGCCCAACCCCGGGACGGCUCUUGGAACUGCGUGGCUGGAGUGCAGGAGGGGCAGGCGGAAUUCCUGGUGUAGCGGUGAAAUGCGUAGAUAUCAGGAGGAACACCGGUGGCGAAGGCGGCCUGCUGGACUGCAACUGACGUUGAGGCCCGAAAGCGUGGGGAGCAAACAGGAUUAGAUACCCUAGUAGUC
rnacentral:rRNA from 1 species